GAUGAAGAACGUAGCGAAAUGCGAUAAGUAGUGUGAAUUGCAGAAUUCAGUGAAUCAUCGAAUCUUUAAACGCACAUUGCGCCCCUUGGUAUCCCGAGGGGCAUGCCUGUUCGAGCGUCAUUUCACCACUCAAGCCUGGCUUGGUGUUGGGCGACGUCCCCUUUGGGGACGCGCCUCGAAACGCUCGGCGGCGUGGCACCGGCUUUAAGCGUAGCAGAAUCUUUCGCUUUGGAAGUCGGGGCCCCGUCUGCCGGAAGACCUACUCGCAAGGUUGACCUCGGAUCAGGCAGGGAUACCCGCUGAACUUAAGCAUAUCAAUAAGCGGAGGA
rnacentral:misc_RNA from 1 species